rnacentral:rRNA from 3 species
UGCGGAAGGAUCAUUC